rnacentral:rRNA from 1 species
ACAAGCAGCGGAGCAUGUGGUUUAAUUCGAUGCAACGCGAAGAACUUACCUGGGCUUGACAUCCCGGGAAUCCCUUGGAAACAGGGAGUGCCCUUCGGGGAACCUGGAGACAGGUGCUGCAUGGCUGUCGUCAGCUCGUGUCGUGAGAUGUAGGGUUAAGUCCCGCAACGAGCGCAACCCCUAUUGUUAGUUGCCAUCAUUCAGUUGGGCACUCUAGCGAGACUGCCGGUAAUAAACCGGAGGAAGUGGGGAUGACGUCAAAUCAUCAUGCCCCUUAUGUCUUGGGCUUCACGCAUGCUACAAUGGCCGGUACAAAGGGCUGCGAUACCGCGAGGUGGAGCGAAUCCCAGAAAGCCGGUCUCAGUUCGGAUUGGGGUCUGCAACUCGACCCCAUGAAGUCGGAGUCGCUAGUAAUCGCAGAUCAGCAACGCUGCGGUGAAUACGUUCCCGGGCCUU